rnacentral:rRNA from 1 species
GACGAACGCUGGCGGCGUGCUUAACACAUGCAAGUCGAACGGAAAGGCCCUGCUUUUGUGGGGUGCUCGAGUGGCGAACGGGUGAGUAACACGUGAGUAACCUGCCCUUGACUUUGGGAUAACUUCAGGAAACUGGGGCUAAUACCGGAUAGGAGCUCCUGCUGCAUGGUGGGGGUUGGAAAGUUUCGGCGGUUGGGGAUGGACUCGCGGCUUAUCAGCUUGUUGGUGGGGUAGUGGCUUACCAAGGCUUUGACGGGUAGCCGGCCUGAGAGGGUGACCGGCCACAUUGGGACUGAGAUACGGCCCAGACUCCUACGGGAGGCAGCAGUGGGGAAUAUUGCACAAUGGGCGGAAGCCUGAUGCAGCAACGCCGCGUGCGGGAUGACGGCCUUCGGGUUGUAAACCGCUUUCGCCUGUGACGAAGCGUGAGUGACGGUAAUGGGUAAAGAAGCACCGGCUAACUACGUGCCAGCAGCCGCGGUGAUACGUAGGGUGCGAGCGUUGUCCGGAUUUAUUGGGCGUAAAGGGCUCGUAGGUGGUUGAUCGCGUCGGAAGUGUAAUCUUGGGGCUUAACCCUGAGCGUGCUUUCGAUACGGGUUGACUUGAGGAAGGUAGGGGAGAAUGGAAUUCCUGGUGGAGCGGUGGAAUGCGCAGGUAUCAGGAGGAACACCAGUGGCGAAGGCGGUUCUCUGGGCCUUUCCUGACGCUGAGGAGCGAAAGCGUGGGGAGCGAACAGGCUUAGAUGCCCUGGUAGUCCACGCUGUAAACGGUGGGUACUAGGUGUGGGGUCCAUUCCACGGGUUCCGUGCCGUAGCUAACGCUUUAAGUACCCCGCCUGGGGAGUACGGCCGCAAGGCUAAAACUCAAAGGAAUUGACGGGGCCCCGCACAAGCGGCGGAGCAUGCGGAUUAAUUCGAUGCAACGCGUAGAACCUUACCUGGGUUUGACAUGGAUCGGGAGCGCUCAGAGAUGGGUGUGCCUCUUUUGGGGUCGGUUCACAGGUGGUGCAUGGCUGUCGUCAGCUCGUGUCGUGAGAUGUUGGGUUAAGUCCCGCAACGAGCGCAACCCUUGUUCACUGUUGCCAGCACGUUAUGGUGGGGACUCAGUGGAGACCGCCGGGGUCAACUCGGAGGAAGGUGGGGAUGACGUCAAGUCAUCAUGCCCCUUAUGUCCAGGGCUUCACGCAUGCUACAAUGGCUGGUACAGAGAGUGGCGAGCCUGUGAGGGUGAGCGAAUCUCGGAAAGCCGGUCUCAGUUCGGAUUGGGGUCUGCAACUCGACCUCAUGAAGUCGGAGUCGCUAGUAAUCGCAGAUCAGCAACGCUGCGGUGAAUACGUUCCCGGG